rnacentral:rRNA from 1 species
UAGGGAAUCUUCCGCAAUGGGCGAAAGCCUGACGGAGCAACGCCGCGUGAGUGAAGAAGGAUUUCGGUUCGUAAAGCUCUGUUGUUAGGGAAGAAUGAUUGUAUAGUAACUAUAUACAGUAGAGACGGUACCUAACCAGAAAGCCACGGCUAGCUACGUGCCAGCAGCCGCGGUAAUACGUAGGUGGCAAGCGUUGUCCGGAAUUAUUGGGCGUAAAGCGCGCGCAGGUGGUUUAAUAAGUCUGAUGUGAAAGCCCACGGCUCAACCGUGGAGGGUCAUUGGAAACUGUUAAACUUGAGUGCAGGAGAGAAAAGUGGAAUUCCUAGUGUAGCGGUGAAAUGCGUAGAGAUUAGGAGGAACACCAGUGGCGAAGGCGGCUUUUUGGCCUGUAACUGACACUGAGGCGCGAAAGCGUGGGGAGCAAACAGGAUUAGAUACCCUGGUAGUCCACGCCGUAAACGAUGAGUGCUAAGUGUUGGUCUCAUAAGAGAUCAGUGCUGCAGCUAACGCAUUAAGCACUCCGCCUGGGGAGUACGACCGCAAGGUUG